CAGGCGUCUAAGGUAGGUUUCCAUUACAAUACCUUACUGAUGAGUCCAAGGAAACCGGGACGAAACGCCAA
rnacentral:hammerhead_ribozyme from 1 species